rnacentral:lncRNA from 1 species
CCACCGUUUCGGUUUUGUUAGGGGCGUUGCGAUGCAGCAUCGGGGCUGGGGCUGCGGCGCGGUCGGCAGGAGGGCGCCAGAGACCAGCCUCCGCGCCCCAGUUCUGCUAGAGACCUGGACGCGCGCGCCUCUUCGGGGAGUCCCGGUGGAGGAAAGAGGUCCUUGGGUGCCCUCUGCCCCCUACACCCCACUCUGAGGACGAGGUGAGCCGUGCUGAACCCUGCCGUGCCUCAGGACGCGGAGGGCUAGUCUCACUCAGUGUGUCCCUCCAGGGCACGAAGCCCGCCAGGCACGCGGGGCGCAAGGCGCUCGCAGGACACUGGGGCGCAGGCUCGCGCCCCUCUCGGACCUGCGGGGGAAGCCUGGCCUUUAUCCCGGCUCUGGCUCUUGCCCGCGGCCGGCGGCCUACGGCCCAGCCGCGGGCAAGGACAAAGAAACUCACUGCCCGGGCCGAGCAGCCCGAGAGCACGGCGGGCGCGCCGUGUGUGCGGGGAGGGGGUGCGGGGGGCGACACGAAAGCGCUCGCCCUGCAGCCCGACGCGGGUCCUGGCUCCUUCCUUUGCUGCUCUUUGUUCACAUUGUCUUAGAAAUGCCCCGACUCGCGGGUCAAGAUGGAGAAAGUUGCUGAGACAGGAGCAGCGCGUACGAGUCCGAAGCGGAGUCCAAAGCAAAGACAAGACCCCUGCUGGGCAGAAGCGAACCGGAGCCUUUUUACCAGGCAGAAAGUCAGCGCUGCCCACGACUCAGCUAAAGGCUGGAGGGGAAGGGCGCACUCCGCAACGGCGUGGAGGAAGAAGAGGGGCCUGGUGGUCCUCCCCCUCCUUCCACUCCCUCAGCCCUCUGCUGCAGUCCAGGCCCAUUGGGUGUCCAGGGACCAGCUCGGUGCGUCUGGCUCACGAGUUUCUGGAGGAGGGCCCUGCCCCGUGGUUUUUACUGCAGUCACCUCCGCGGUGGAACAGAGCCAGCUUUCACGUUAACUGCCCGGUGACAGAUAAAAGAAGCAGGGGGAGGAAGUGCCGCUUCUCAUAAACCGCUAGAGUGGCUCUCAUUAAUCACCGAGGUGGCCCGCAGCGCUCGGUGAAACGAGGGCGUUACCGACCAUUUGGUACAAUGCACCAGGCUGGGUUACUUUAAAAAAAAAAAAAAAAAAAAAAAACUGAUGGAAGACUGGCAGAAAGUGAGGCCGAGAUGGAGACUGGGAACGGUUGGUAAGGGGAGCAGCACGUGGACACUGCCACUGGAGACGGGGCUGGGACUGUUUCCACCAGCUGUCUCCAACCACAUUCUUUAGGUAUGAAUUUAGACUGUCAUCCAAUGAGCAAAGACCGUGGCUGCUUCCGAAUCCUGAAUCCUGCAGCGCAGUGACUGUCACCUUAAAAGCUAUGCAGCCGGGAGAGGAGGGCAAAGGCGCUGAUGGAGCACUUUUCCGGGUAGAGAAGCAGCCUCCUCAUUCGGGCUGCUUUCUUCCACUGCAGCUGGGUUAGUCCUUGUGUAAUCUGCACCCCCAGUUCCAACUGCUAGCAACCUGGCCUGGCCCAGUCCUUUCUCCGUGGACCAAAUCGCCUUUCUACAGCACUCGCCCCACUCUGAGACUCACCUCCGCACCUUCCUUCACAGCCUGCCAGGACCACGAAGUCCUCACCUGAUUUGGUGCUCCCAGGCUCAAAGAAGCCUGUGGCCUUGCUUUCUGGAUUCAUGUAGUAUAGUGGGCUGAGUAACACCUACUGCAGAAGACAGAUGGUAGAAAUAAAAGAAACAGUGCACACUACACACCCUCUGUUAGAUUCUGCUUUGCAUGGUUCUUCCCUCUGAUCACCCCUGGCCUUCUGACUAAGAUCAAGCACAAUUCCCCUCUGAAUUUUCCACCUGUAUCCAGCAACUCUGUGAGUGAUUCAAUUCCCAAAGCUCUCUUCUGCUGUUUCUCACCUGUCUUUUUUGCUAUCUAUUUAGCACUUAGACCUAGAAGAGAUUAAAUCACAAGUGAACUCAAGAGGGCUAUGAAAAGGACCGAGCACCCAAACAGGAGUCCCCAGAUCCCAAGCAUGUCAUCCAAACCCCCCCACCAGCACCCCCACAUCUACUCCCUUGUGACUGCAGGCCCCAGUGAGGACUGGUUUAGAUGCUUGUAUAAAGUGACCUAUGAACUACCAAAUCUUCCAUACAUUUAAAGUGGUCACUUGAGGGGAAAAAAAAGAAAACUCUGUUCACUUCCCCGCCUUUGUUCAUUAACUUGUGUCCCCUUUAAUUUCCUUGGUGUGCAAAUCACAGAACCCUUUCAUUCUCUCCCCACAGGGAUAGUCGGUUCCCAGUCUGACCCUGCCCGUGAGGUUAGGGCUUGGUAAAGGGAGAACCCUUGCAGCCAGCGUGCACUAACUUCUUCCUGUGUUUCAGACUCUAUUAAGUAUCUUUGUGCUCUGUGAGGGGAGUGUUAGUAAGUUUAGGUAACAGGAGCACUGCCACUGCAUUCCACAGAGUGGGAUCAGGUUUUGGACUUCAGAUUGCCCUUCGCAUCAACACCUUGUACUAUGACAGGCCUAUAUCUUUAACUUUUUAAUAACAUGUUUCCACAAAAUAAAUAUACAAGUGUCAAUAGCAGGCAA